AACUUUUAAAAGUCGGAUGGAUCAAGUACGGCCUCUAAAAACAUAUCUACAAAAAUUGUUCGUUGCCAUUUACUUGUUUCGUUGCAUCCCUCCCUUGAACAAAGAUGACUAGAGACACAUCAGGAUGUCAAGUUCGGAUCUUGGCCUUCGCGCUCAUUUAUCCAUGUCGUUAUUUUUUUUUGUCUUUUUUGAGCAAGUUCUCGAAAAUGUCUGGCACAACUGAGGAAGGUACAAUUUAUUCUAAUACGAUCUUACUAAGGUGGGUUUACG